rnacentral:lncRNA from 10 species
GGGCACGGUGGCUCACGCCUGUAAUCCCAACACUUUGGGAGGCCGAGGCAGGUGGAUCACUAGGUCAGGAGUUUGAGACCAUCCUGGCCAACAUGGAGACACCUCAUCUCUACUAAAAAUACAAAAAUUAUCUGGGCGUGGCGGUGGGCGCCUGUAAUCCCAGCUACUUGUGAGGCUGAAGCAGGAGAAUCGCUUGAACUCGGGAAGCGGAGGUUGCAGUGAGCUGAAAUCGCACCACUGCACUCCAGCCUGGGCAACAGGGCGAGAUUCCGUCUCAAAAAAAAAAGAAGCAUGUUUCCUAGCAAGCCAAUUCAGAAUAAAAAGAAAACAAAGGAGAAAAUAUAAUCCCAAUAAAAUAUAUUGAAAUAAAUAUGUACACACAUAUAUA